rnacentral:rRNA from 1 species
UAGUGAGUUUGAUCCUGGCUCAGGAUGAACGCUGGCGGUCUGCUUAACACAUGCAAGUCGAACGCAAGUAGAAAUACUUGAGUGGCGGACGGGUGAGUAACGCGUGAGAAUCUGCCUUCUGGUCGGGGACAACCACUGGAAACGGUGGCUAAUACCGGAUAUGCCUAUGGGUGAAAGAUUAAUUGCCAGAAGAAGAGCUCGCGUCCGAUUAGCUAGUUGGUGGGGUAAUGGCUCACCAAGGCGACGAUCGGUAGCUGGUCUGAGAGGAUGAUCAGCCACACUGGAACUGAGACACGGUCCAGACUCCUACGGGAGGCAGCAGUGGGGAAUUUCCGCAAUGGGCGAAAGCCUGACGGAGCAAGACCGCGUGUGAGACGAAGGCUCUUGGGGUCGUAAAACCACUUUUGUCAGGAAGAACACAAUGACGUGCCUGACGAUAGCCUCGGCUAACUCCGUGCCAGCAGCCGCGGUAAUCU